GGGUGAACCUCUUCCUUCUGUAGAGCGAAGCAGGAUCAGGAACAAGAGCUCUUACAAGAGCUCAGUAGCUAAUGCAGAGCAUAGCAAUCCCUGUAGUGAUUAUAGCUGUCUCCUACAAACACGAGUCGAGGCGGCGCGUUAGAGGGUCAAGAAGAUCUGUUUAAUCGGCACCAAAGGGCGUUUUUUACGCAAAGUUACCACUCACAUGGUCUUGUGGAACAGCCAAACACAUG